rnacentral:rRNA from 1 species
UAGUCCACGCCGUAAACGAUGAAUACUAGGUGUAGGGGUUGUCAUGACCUCUGUGCCGCCGCUAACGCAUUAAGUAUUCCGCCUGGGGAGUACGGUCGCAAGAUUAAAACUCAAAGGAAUUGACGGGGGCCCGCACAAGCAGCGGAGCAUGUGGUUUAAUUCGAAGCAACGCGAAGAACCUUACCUAGACUUGACAUCUCCUGCAUUACUCUUAAUCGAGGAAGUCCCUUCGGGGACAGGAUGACAGGUGGUGCAUGGUUGUCGUCAGCUCGUGUCGUGAGAUGUUGGGUUAAGUCCCGCAACGAGCGCAACCUUAUUGUUAGUUGCCAUCAUUAAGUUGGGCACUCUAGCGAGACUGCCCGGGUUAACCGGGAGGAAGGUGGGGAUGACGUCAAAUCAUCAUGCCCCUUAUGUCUAGGGCUACACACGUGCUACAAUGGUCGGUACAAUAGACGCAAGCCCAGCGAGGGGAGCAAACUGGAAAACCGAUCGUCAAGUUCAGAUUGUAGGCUGGAAAUCUCGCCUACAUGAAGCUGGAGUUGCUAAGUAUCGCGAAUCAGCAUGUCGCGGAUCGAAUACGUUCCCGGGGCCUUGUACACACCGCCCGUCACACCAUGAGAGUUGGCAAUACCCAAAGUACGUGAUCUAACCCGUAAGGGGAGGAAGCGUCC